AUUGAACGCUGGCGGCAUGCUUUACACAUGCAAGUCGGACGGCAGCACAGAGAAGCUUGCUUCUUGGGUGGCGAGUGGCGCACGGGUGAGUAACAUAUCGGAACGUACCGAGCAGUGGGGGAUAACUAAUCGAAAGAUUAGCUAAUACCGCAUAUCUUCUGAGGAAGAAAGCAGGGGACCAUUUGGCCUUGCGCUGUUUGAGCGGCCGAUAUCUGAUUAGCUAGUUGGUGGGGUAAAGGCCUACCAAGGCGACGAUCAGUAGCGGGUCUGAGAGGAUGAUCCGCCACACUGGGACUGAGACACGGCCCAGACUCCUACGGGAGGCAGCAGUGGGGAAUUUUGGACAAUGGGCGCAAGCCUGAUCCAGCCAUGCCGCGUGUCUGAAGAAGGCCUUCGGGUUGUAAAGGACUUUUGUCAGGGAAGAAAAGGGCGGGGUUAAUACCCCUGUCUGAUGACGGUACCUGAAGAAUAAGCACCGGCUAACUACGUG
rnacentral:rRNA from 1 species